UAGAACUUUUAAUCAGAAAGGCAAAACCAGGAGUGAAAAGAUAAGCAUCAAACUUGGAGAAGAGAAAUGUUCACAUAUAAUCACUAAAUGGUUAGUAUACAGAAAAUAUAAAGAACUCCUGUAGCCAAAAGUACCAUUUAUAAAUCUAUGGAUGGAUGUUUUCUGAAGGUCCUUUGCCUGGAGAAAAAAAUAGUGCAUUAAAAAGCUUCUGUCCAAAACAAACAAACAAACUCCUAAAAAUCAAGUAGAAGGGCUGGGUGCGGUGGCUCAUGCCUGUAAUCCCAGCACUUUGGGAGGCUGAGGUGACAAGAGCAAAACUCCAUCUCAAAAAAAAAAAAAAAAUCAAGUAGAAGACAAACAACCCAAAAACAUAGUGGGCAAAUGCCAUAGCAUUUCAUACAUUUCAUAGAAGAAAAAUAAAAAAUUAGCUGGGCAUGGUGGCGCGCACCUGUAGUCUCAGCUACUCGGGAGGAUGAGGAGAAUCUCUUGAACCUGGGAGGCAGAAGUUGCAGUGAGCUGAGAUUGCGCCACUGCACUCCAGCCUGGUGACAGAGCAAGACUCUGGCUCAGAAAAAUAAACAAGCAAACCAAAAACAAAACAAAACAAAACAAAAAAACAUUCUACAGUGGCCUUCCUGUAUUUUUAUCUGCUUUUUUUCUGUUCUCUUCUCUGCUUUGGAGUCAGAAACUUCAGUUCAAAUCCCUGCCAUGUCAACAUAACAAUCUUUCAGCUUGUUUCCUCCUUCGUAAAUGAUGGGCAUAAUUUCCAUCUCACAGGAUUUCUAAGUGUUAGAAUUGAAUGAGGUAAUGUAUUAAUACAUACUACAUGCUUCAGAAAUACUAUCCGUCUCAUUCCACAUGCUUGUCAGAACUCCAAUGCCACAAUGGAUACAAAGUGAGCCAUUUUCUUCACUGUCCACUAUCAAUUUGGGAAUGGCAGCUUGCUGCUUUUACAUUUUCAGAUCUAGUUAACAUUACCUUCCAUCAGUGAAAUAGAAUACUUAAUCUUUAUUAUGUAUUUCCCUCAUUUUCCAAUAUCUUUAAAGUCAUUGUAUCACUAUUUUAAAAUUCAAUUUUGUGAACUCUUGCUUUUGCAUGGAGGAAAAUGGGAUUGGUCAAACAUUGAAAUGGGAUGAUUGGUUCUCUGAUUUCUCUGUAUUCAGUCCUACACCUAAUAGCUUCAAGCACUCUCCUAGGAAGACAGGACUCUGGGUAUGUCCAAAUAAGUAGACACUCUUAAUGAGUUUUCUCUGUUGUAUGCUGUAAUAUCUUUUUGAGUGUUCCAGAGAACUGAAUAAAAGUA
rnacentral:lncRNA from 10 species